rnacentral:rRNA from 1 species
UUGGAGGGCAAGUCUGGUGCCAGCAGCCGCGGUAAUUCCAGCUCCAAUAGCGUAUAUUAAAGUUGUUGCAGUUAAAAAGCUCGUAGUUGAAUUUCGAGACCGGUUUAUUGGUCGUGCUUUUGUACGUACUGGUAUUAUUGGUUUCUCCUUUCUGACGAAUCUUAAUGCCAUUAAUUUGGUGUUUUGGGGAAUCAGGACUGUUACUUUGAAAAAAUUAGAGUGUUUAAAGCAGGCUCACGCUUGAAUACAUUAGCAUGGAAUAACGGAAUAGGACGUUUGAUUCUAUUUUGUUGGUUUCUAGGAUCGACGUAAUGAUUAAUAGGGAUAGUUGGGGGCAUUAGUAUUCAAUUGUCAGAGGUGAAAUUCUUGGAUUUAUUGAAGACUAACUACUGCGAAAGCAUUUGCCAAGGAUGUUUUCAUUAAUCAAGAACGAAAGUUAGGGGAUCGAAGACGAUCAGAUACCGUCGUAGUCUUAACCAUAAACUAUGCCGACUAGGGAUCGGAUGAUGUUAAUUUUUUAAUGACUCAUUCGGCGCCUUACGGGAAACCAAAGUGUUUGGGUU